UACGUAGGUGGCGAGCGUUGUCCGGAGUUACUGGGCGUAAAGGGCGUGUAGGCGGUUUGUUAAGUCUGGCGUGAAAGCUCUCGGCUAAACCGGGAGAGGUCGUUGGAUACUGGCAAACUAGAGGACGGUAGAGGCGUGUGGAAUUCCGGGUGUAGUGGUGAAAUGCGUAGAGAUCCGGAGGAACACCAGUGGCGAAGGCGACACGCUGGGCCGUACCUGACGCUAAAGCGCGACAGCAUGGGGGAGCAAACAGG
rnacentral:rRNA from 1 species